CCUACGGGUGGCAGCAGUGAGGAAUAUUGGUCAAUGGGCGCGAGCCUGAACCAGCCAAGUAGCGUGAAGGAUGACGGCCCUACGGGUUGUAAACUUCUUUUAUAAAGGAAUAAAGUGAUGCACGUGUGCCUUUUUGUAUGUACUGUAUGAAUAAGGAUCGGCUAACUCCGUGCCAGCAGCCGCGGUAAUACGGAGGAUCCGAGCGUUAUCCGGAUUUAUUGGGUUUAAAGGGAGCGUAGAUGGGUUGUUAAGUCAGUUGUGAAAGUUUGAGGCUCAACAGUAAAGUUGCAAUUGAUACUGGAAGACUUGAGUGCAGAUGAGGUAGGCGGAAUUCGUGGUGUAGCGGUGAAAUGCUUAGAUAUCACGAAGAACACCGAUUGCGAAGGCAGCUUACUAAGCUGCAACUGACAUUGAUGCUCGAAAGUGUGGGUAUCAAACAGGAUUAGAUACCCUUGUAGUC
rnacentral:rRNA from 1 species